AUUGAACGCUGGCGGCAGGCCUAACACAUGCAAGUCGAACGAGUGGCGGACGGGUGAGUAAUGUCUGGGAAACUGCCUGAUGGAGGGGGAUAACUACUGGAAACGGUAGCUAAUACCGCAUACCAUCGGAUGUGCCCAGAUGGGAUUAGCUAGUAGGUGGGGUAAAGGCUCACCUAGGCGACGAUCCCUGGCUGGUCUGAGAGGAUGACCGGCCACGCUGGACCUGAGGCACGGUCCAGAUGCCUACGGGAGGCAGCAGUGGGGAAUAUUGCACAAUGGGCGCAAGCCUGAUGCAGCCAUGCCGCGUGUGUGAAGAAGGCCUUCGGGUUGUAAAGCACUUUCAGCGUGGAGGCGUUACCCGCAGAAGAAGCACCGGCUAACUCCGUGCCAGCAGCCGCGGUAAUUC
rnacentral:rRNA from 1 species